rfam:Schistosoma haematobium scaffold1481_18, whole genome shotgun sequence.
AGCCUUCUCUAUCCGUGCUGAGAUUUCGUCACACGCCAGACCAUAAGGGCUGAUGAGACUCCCAAGAAGUGAAUAAACA